rnacentral:rRNA from 1 species
UACGUAGGGGCCAAGCGUUGUCCGGAUUUAUUGGGCGUAAAGAGCUCGUAGGCGGUUCGGCAAGUCAGCUGUGAAAUCUCCACGCUCAACGUGGAGGGGUCAGCUGAUACUGCUGUGACUCGAGUCCGGUAGGGGAGUGUGGAAUUCCUGGUGUAGUGGUGAAAUGCGUAGAGAUCAGGAGGAACACCGGUGGCGAAGGCGGCCUACUGGGCUGUCUCUGACGCUGAGGCGCGAAAGCUCGGGGAGCGAACGGG